UAGGAACCUACCCUUCAGAGGGGGAUAACUAAGGGAAACUUUAGCUAAUACCGCGUAAUCUCUGAGGAGGAAAGCUGCCCGCAAGGGUGGCGCUGAAGGAGGGGCCUGCGUCCGAUUAGCUAGUCGGUAGGGUAAGAGCCUACCAAGGCAAUGAUCGGUAACUGGUCUGAGAGGACGACCAGUCACACUGGGACUGAGACACGGCCCAGACUCCUACGGGAGGUAG
rnacentral:rRNA from 1 species